rnacentral:rRNA from 1 species
GAUGAACGCUGGCGGCGUGCCUAACACAUGCAAGUCGAACGACAGGUGGAGAUGGUUGCCCUCUGUCGGCAGGCGUCAUUUCGAGUGGUGGCCGGGUGAGUAAUGCGUGGGUAUCAUGCCUCAUUCAGGGGGAUAGCAGUUGAAAACGACUGUUAAUACCGCAUAAGACCAUUGAUCCGCAUGGUGCGGAGGUUAAGACUCCGGUGGUAUGGGAUGGACCCGCGUUCGAUUAGCCAGUUGGCAGGGUAACGGCCCACCAAGGCGACGAUCGAUAGCGGAUCUGAGAGGAUGACCGGCCAGAUUGGAACUGAGACACGGCCCAAACUCCUACGGGAGGCAGCAGUGGGGAAUAUUGCACAAUGGGGGAAACCCUGAUGCAGCGACGCCGCGUGAAUGAUGAAGUAUUUCGGUAUGUAAAGCUCUAUCAGCAGUGAAGAAUAUGACGGUACCUGAGGAAGAAGCCCCGGCUAACUACGUG